GUUGGGCGUGGUGGCACACACCUGUAAUCCCAGCAGCUUGGGAGGCAGAGGCAGGAGAAUGGCAAGUUCAAAGCCAACCUCAGUAAAAGUGAGGUGCUAAGCAAUUCAGUGAGACCCUGUCUCUA
rnacentral:sRNA from 1 species